rnacentral:lncRNA from 10 species
AAGCGGAACCAAAUGAACUGGAGCGAAAACGAGCUGGAGUCCUUGUCCUACCUCUGUGCUUUUAGUGAUGGUUAGACACAUGACAUUUAAUAAAAUGAAUAAUCAGAAGAGAGAAUUGGCCAGUAAAGAUGAAAGUGAAGUACCAUAUGAGAAACUGUAGAUAUGCAGUUACGGAAACUUAGGGUGAAUGUAUCAACCUGUGA